rnacentral:rRNA from 1 species
UGGGGAAUUUUGGACAAUGGGCGAAAGCCUGAUCCAGCAAUGCCGCGUGUGUGAAGAAGGCCUUCGGGUUGUAAAGCACUUUUGUCCGGAAAGAAAUCCUUGGCUCUAAUACAGUCGGGGGAUGACGGUACCGGAAGAAUAAGCACCGGCUAACUACGUGCCAGCAGCCGCGGUAAUACGUAGGGUGCAAGCGUUAAUCGGAAUUACUGGGCGUAAAGCGUGCGCAGGCGGUUUGCUAAGACCGAUGUGAAAUCCCCGGGCUCAACCUGGGAACUGCAUUGGUGACUGGCAGGCUAGAGUAUGGCAGAGGGGGGUAGAAUUCCACGUGUAGCAGUGAAAUGCGUAGAGAUGUGGAGGAAUACCGAUGGCGAAGGCAGCCCCCUGGGCUAAUACUGACGCUCAUGCACGAAAGCGUGGGGGAGCAAACAGGAUUAGAUACCCUGGUAGUCCACGCCCUAAACGAUGUCAACUAGUUGUUGGGGAUUCAUUUCCUUAGUAACGUAGCUAACGCGUGAAGUUGACCGCCUGGGGAGUACGGUCGCAAGAUUAAAACUCAAUGAAUUGACGGGGUCAUAGCUGUUUCCU